GACGGAGGAGGCAAGCGUUAUCCGGAAUUAUUGGGCGUAAAGGGUGCGUAGGUGGUCAGACAAGUCCCAUGUCAAAGCGUGGUGCUUAACGCCAUACAGGCGUGGGAAACUGUGUGACUAGAGUACAGCAGGGGCAGGAGGAAUUCCCGGUGUAGCGGUGAAAUGCGUAGAUAUCGGGAAGAACACCAGUGGCGCAAGCGUUCUGCUGGGCUGUAACUGACAAUGAGGCACGAAAGCUAGGGGAGCGAAUGGG
rnacentral:rRNA from 1 species